UCUACCCCCAAAGCAUCACCUUCAGGGAACUUCAAAGGCUGUGUAUUGAUCCCCUUCCCAAAGUUUACCACUGCUUUAAAAUUGAUUAGAUCCAAACCCAGAUGAAUGCUAAUGUCUCUGUCUUUCCUGGUGGAAGCACACACCUUUACCAGUAAACUGGUAAAGAAAACUAAACAUGGUUCAAAGAAGCAGAUGGAGGUUGCUGUUGAUGACCUCUCAUACCACUAUUUAUGAGUCAAUAUACCACAGUAUCAAAUAUGAUUUAUAAAAACAUUAUAUGGCCAGAAUCUGCUUAGAAAGUCAAGGACCGAUUUUGCAUUUUCUAUGUUAAGUAAGGUUUGCAUUCAGAGGAUGGGAUCUUGUGCUAAUGAGAAUGUUAGCAGUAGCUAACAUUCAACAUGUUAGCUGUUGAGUAGCUUCCAGGCCUCCACCUUGACUGGCUUGGAAAGCUUGAGAUGGUGUGAGAUGGGUGCUGCUUCUUACCACAAAGGCUUUUAAAUACAAUUCAAGGAAAACCACAUUGGGAGUGAGAGACUGCUUGCAACAAGGGCAGCUGCAGUCCACAAUAUUCCUAGGCCAUCCAAAGAGACUUCAAGAAAUAUGCCCUGAGUGAGCAACUAAGGUGUCAUUAUCCAAGACAAUUUAUUAAUGAAGAGGUUGAAGCCAAAGAAGAGGAAGUAAUAAAUCAUAUUUUUGCUUGUUUUUCUAAUUGUGCAAUCACUAGUAGUAACUCAAUUGAGAUUAACCUAUUUCCCUGCAUUCUAUUCUUAACUUUCUAGUUGUCAGUGACCUACACAAGAGGUUUACACCUCCCUCUUCUCUAACUAUAACCCUGGACUGUUGACAUGUGGAUGGAACGUAAGGAUCCUGAAACAUCUCAUUAAGUUUCUUCUCCCUGGAUCAGAAGAAAUGGAGGCAGAAAACUAUUUUCAAAACAGAAAUAGCACUUCAGCUUGGAAGUGUAUCAAUAAUUGUCCAGUGCUGGGUUGACAUGCUCCAAAUAUUUUCUUUACUACGACUGGGAUAAUACAGAAGUGCUGCUAAGUGAGUGCAACACUUGUUUUCACCUCAAUUACGAGACAGCUGCCAGCUCCCAUACAGGCCCAAUGGGAAUGAAUACCCUGAAGUUUGUGAAAGCUACCCCAGCCCUGCAGAGACCACACAGAUCCUCCUGGAAUCUCAGCUCAGCAGCCUGCAAUUCCCAGGAAGGCCUGGAUAUGGCAGCCUUUUAUCAACGGAGAGAGGGUCAGCACCCAGCUCCAGCAGCAACAGAAGGGCUUUCACAAAAUCAGCCAGGGAAAUAUUCCAAGUUAGCAGUCUAUCCCAACAGACUCAGGUGCUGGGUUACCAGACAAAUUAGAAAGGACAUAAGAGGGCCCUUGUUGAUGAAGAAUCAUCAGUAUUCUCUGUACAUCCCUUCACUGAAGGAACACACUAUCUGCUUUCGAGUAAUGCAAUCCUUCUCCCCUGCAGUUCACUGCCAUCCAUCCCAAAUGUAAAUCUUAAUUUUUAUAGUCUAUCUCAGCAGUCAGAAAGGCUCAGCACAGUCUACAGCCAAAAUCUGUUUUCUGCAAAGAAAACAGGAGGAAAAAGAGCCAGGACUCAAACAAGAAAAGAUCAGACGUGGCAGAGGCCAGACCUAAUGCAUUUGUGGCACUACUGGUGUGACAGAACAGAGUAGGGGUAAAUUUGGUGCUUCUCUGAUCCAAAGCUUGCUACAUCCAGAGGCUCUGGGGAAGGCUCAAUCGCACCAUUUCCAGCGUGAUGACGUGAACAGCAAGUCCAGUGGAACAAACAUGCACAGUGUCUGGAUGGGCAGAGAAAUCUCAAAACUGAGACUGACUUAACAUCAUGUGCAAGAAAAGGUAUCGUGGAAACACUGCACAAUCCCACAGGGAAGAGCCCUGUAGAGCUGCAGUUCACUGCAGCUAAAAUCCUUCACACACAUCUGUUGUAAAAAAAGCUGCAUGGAAAAGAAACACAGUGGAGAGAC